rnacentral:misc_RNA from 1 species
GAGGGAUCAUUACCGAGUUAUACAACUCAUCAACCCUGUGAACAUACCUAAAACGUUGCUUCGGCGGGAACAGACGGCCCCGUAACACGGGCCGCCCCCGCCAGAGGACCCCCUAACUCUGUUUCUAUUAUGUUUCUUCUGAGUAAAACAAGCAAAUAAAUUAAAACUUUCAACAACGGAUCUCUUGGCUCUGGCAUCGAUGAAGAACGCAGCGAAAUGCGAUAAGUAAUGUGAAUUGCAGAAUUCAGUGAAUCAUCGAAUCUUUGAACGCACAUUGCGCCCGCCAGUAUUCUGGCGGGCAUGCCUGUUCGAGCGUCAUUACAACCCUCAGGCCCCCGGGCCUGGCGUUGGGGAUCGGCGAGGCGCCCCCUGCGGGCACACGCCGUCCCCCAAAUACAGUGGCGGUCCCGCCGCAGCUUCCAUUGCGUAGUAGCUAACACCUCGCAACUGGAGAGCGGCGCGGCCACGCCGUAAAACACCCAACUUCUGAAUGUUGACCUCGAAUCAGGUAGGAAUACCCGCUGAACUUAAG